GAUGAACGCUGGCGGCGUGCCUAAUACAUGCCAGUCGAGCGAACAGACGAGGAGCUUGCUCCUCUGACGUUAGCGGCGGACGGGUGAGUAACACGUGUAUAACCUACCUAUAAGACUGGGAUAACUUCGGGAAACCGGAGCUAAUACCGGAUAAUAUAUUGAACCGCAUGGUUCAAUAGUGAAAGACGGUUUUGCUGUCACUUAUAGAUGGAUCCGCGCCGCAUUAGCUAGUUGGUAAGGUAACGGCUUACCAAGGCAACGAUGCGUAGCCGACCUGAGAGGGUGAUCGGCCACACUGGAACUGAGACACGGUCCAGACUCCUACGGGAGGCAGCAGUAGGGAAUCUUACGCAAUGGGCGAAAGCUUGACGGAGCAACGCCGCGUGAGUGAUGAAGGUCUUCGGAUCGUAAAACUCUGUUAUUAGGGAAGAACAAAUGUGUAAGUAACUAUGCACGUCUUGACGGUACCUAAUCAGAAAGCCACGGCUAACUACGUG
rnacentral:rRNA from 1 species